CUUAAGUAUGGCAUGUAUAGCAAUAUAUUUAUUUUGUGUAAAUAAUUUUAUGAUAUGGCCAUGAUUGGUUGAGAAAAUGUUUGAUAUUGAUAAGUCUUGGUGAUGGUUAAAUUUAGAUCAUGUUUGAUAUCAUGGAAGUUUAAUAGGUUAUCUAGUUCAUAGCAACUCAUGAAAAGAUGAAAUUUACCUUAAAACAGAAUAUUG
rnacentral:lncRNA from 1 species